GCUCGGGGGCAGUAUUGAGACAUUUUGAAAAAAAUAUGUGCCCAUUUUUAACUGCCUCCUACACCAACUCAGAAGCUAGGAUAUGCAUAUUAUUAACACAUUCGGAUAGAAAACACUCUGAAUUUUCUAAAACAGUUUGAAUGGUGUCUGUAAGUAUAACAAAACUCAUAUUGCAGGCAAAAACCUGUGAAAAAUAGAUCCAAAAAAAAUUGGAUUUUGUGACUGUACUAUUUAGUGUCAUUGUUUUAUAGAUACCAUAGUGAGAAAGGAUUCAUUUCGCAACACCUACGGCUUCCACUAGAUGUCAACGAUCUUUAUAAAGUUGUUUGAAGCGUCUAUGAUAAACAGAGAGCAAAUUAGAAUCCAAGGAAGUUGACAUGUCAUCACUUCAUUUUUUUGCGCCUGCGCAUAAAUCUGAGAGACGUGAGUUUGUCAUCAUUUUUUAUCUAGACAUAGGAUAGGUUGUGUGAAAAUAUUACUGAUGUUUAACGUUAAAAAUGGACCAAAAGAUUAAUGCUAAACAACAUUUGACAUGUUUGAACGAACAUAAAUAGAUUAUUUACUAGGUUUUUUUAGCUUUUCGGCGUGAUUUUAACAGCCCCACACCACGUUUUGUGGGAGCAUAAUGAACGCUAAGUACUUGGUGUUAUUUGGACAUAAAUUAUGAACUUUGUCAAAAGAAACCACAUUUGUUCCGGACCUGGAAUGCCUUCCGGACCUGGGAUCCUGCCUUCUGAUGGAGAUAAUCAAAGAACAGCACAAACUGUCUCUAACCAGAAUAGAAAGAGGAGUGGGAGGCCCCGGUGCACAACUGAGCAAGAGGACAAGUACAUUAGAGUGUCUAGUUUGAGAAACAGACGCCUCACAAGUCCUGAACUGGCAGCUUCAUUAAAUACUUCCCGCAAAACACCAGUCUCAACGUCAACAGUGAAGAGGCAACUCCGGGAUGCUUUGAACGGUUCCCGCUGAGUUACUAAAUAAAGAAAUCCUCCUGCUGAUUGUUAAUCCUUGCUGAGAGGACCUGAGGCCUUGGACCAUGCCUCAGGACUACCUGGCAUGAUGACUUCAUGCUGUCCCCAGUCCACCUGGCCGUGCUGCUGCUCCAGUUUCAACUGUUCUGCCUGCGGCUAUGGAACCCUGACCUGUUCACCGGGCGUGCGACCUGUCCCAGACCUGCUGUUUUCAACUCUCUAGAGACAGCAGGAGCGGUAGAGAUACUCUCACUGAUCGGCUAUGAAAAGCC
rnacentral:lncRNA from 1 species